CACUCCUGCGGGAGGCAGCAGUGGGGAAUAUUGGACAAUGGGCGCAAGCCUGAUCCAGCCAUGCCGCGUGAGUGAUGAAGGCCCUAGGGUUGUAAAGCUCUUUCACCGGUGAAGAUAAUGACGGUAACCGGAGAAGAAGCCCCGGCUAACUUCGUGCCAGCAGCCGCGGUAAUACGAAGGGGGCUAGCGUUGUUCGGAUUUACUGGGCGUAAAGCGCACGUAGGCAGACUAUUAAGUCAGGGGUGAAAUCCCGGGGCUCAACCCCGGAACUGCCUUUGAUACUGGUAGUCUUGAGUUCGAGAGAGGUGAGUGGAAUUCCGAGUGUAGAGGUGAAAUUCGUAGAUAUUCGGAGGAACACCAGUGGCGAAGGCGGCUCACUGGCUCGAUACUGACGCUGAGGUGCGAAAGCGUGGGGAGCAAACAGGAUUAGAAACCCCUGUAGUCCCAUGA
rnacentral:rRNA from 1 species